CAAUAGCGUAUAUUAAAGUUGUUGCGGUUAAAAAGCUCGUAGUUGGAUUUCUGCUGAGAACGACCGGUCCGCCCUCUGGGUGUGUAUCUGGCUCUUUCUUGGCAUCUUCUUGGUGAACGUUGCUGCACUUGACUGUGUGGAGCGCUACCCAGGACUUUUACUUUGAGGAAAUUAGAGUGUUUCAAGCAGGCAUACGCCUUGAAUACAUUAGCAUGGAAUAAUAAGAUAGGACCUCGGUUCUAUUUUGUUGGUUUCUAGAGCUGAGGUAAUGAUUAAUAGGGAUAGUUGGGGGCAUUCGUAUUUAACUGUCAGAGGUGAAAUUCCUGGAUUUGUUAAAGACGGACUACUGCGAAAGCAUUUGCCAAGGAUGUUUUCAUUGA
rnacentral:rRNA from 1 species